AUUGAACGCUGGCGGCAGGCCUAACACAUGCAAGUCGAACGAGUGGCGGACGGGUGAGUAAUGUCUGGGCAACUGCCUGAUGGAGGGGGAUAACUACUGGAAACGGUAGCUAAUACCGCAUACCAUAAGAUGAGCCCAGAUGGGAUUAGCUUGUGGGUGGGGUAAAGGAUCACCAAGGCGACGAUCCCUAGCUGGUCGGACAGGAUGACCAGCCACACUGGAACUGAGACACGGCCCAGACUCCGACGAGAGGCAGCAGUGGGGAAUAUUGCACAAUGGGCGCAAGCCUGAUGCAGCCAUGCCGCGUGUAUGAAGAAGGCCUUCGGGUUGUAAAGUACGUUCAGCGGGGAGGCGUUACCCGCAGAAGAAGCACCGGCUAACUCCGUGCCAGCAGCCGCGGUAAUUC
rnacentral:rRNA from 1 species